AGCCAGCGGCUCCGGUCAGUGAAGUCCCCGGCUCUGGUCACCCCACUCCCGGCCUCCUCCCUGCGGACACACCCUCCUCUGAACGCGGCUCCACACGGAUCCGUUUGUCGGGGAUAGCUAGAGCACUGUGAUACUCAGUGAGCCCAACUGCAUCGACCUCUCUGCCCGGACUAGUAGAGAGGAGGGGGUGGAGGGUGGAGCAGCAGCCGAGGAGUGCUGCCUUCAGAAUAAAGAACAUCACUGAGAGCUGAGAACCAUCAUGACACGUGCACCUGCACAAUGAUAC